CCAGCGAAGCGCAGUGUGUCGGGAACCGCCGAGCCCGCGGCAGCCGCGCUGACUCAGCACAUCGGAAGCGCCCGGGACCGUGCGCACCCGCGGGGAACCGCCUCUCCGCGGCCGGACGGCGCGGCUCCUGCCGGGCCACCUGCUAGCAGGCCUUAGCGUCCCUGCCUUACACGCUGCUGACGUGGGAGUUGUCUGGCAGAAAAACGUAUCCCAGGGACCGAAUGACCGGUUUCUUGGAGAGUCGAGUUUAGUUUUCUAACCAAGAAUGCUUGUUACUGACUUCAAUGUCCUCAGAAUUCAUACAGAGAAAGGAACCCAAUGAAAGUGCCUAGAAGAACAAGGGAGACAGCAAGUUCAUUGUCCUUCACAACCUGGAGGAUGUGAUUGCUUUUUCCUUCCUCUCCAUGCGUCAGACUGUGAACUCUUAAAGCAAGAGAGCGUAUUCUAUUUCAAGCAUCAUUUCUAUGCUCAGCACCCAGCCUAGCGCCUGGCACAUAGUAGGUGCUUAAUAGGUGUGUGUGUUGAAUAAGUGAACGAUUAAAUGGCCAAUAACACAAAGUUAAAUAACUCAAUGGACCAUCUACUUGAACACAUCUGGAAAUGGACUGAGAUGCCCAUGUCCUCCAUACUUUCAAUAUCCAACAAAUAUUGUUUGGGAACUUGCUAUGUACAGUAACUGUUCUCGGCAAUGGGGACAAAGCAAACAAACAAAACAGAUAAAAUGAAGCUUACAUCUUGA